UACGUAGGUGACAAGCGUUGUCCGGAUUUACUGGGCGUAAAGAGCGCGCAGGCGGUCGUUCAAGUCGAGUGUGAAAGCCCCCGGCUCAACUGGGGAGGGUCAUUCGAUACUGAUCGACUCGAAGGCAGGAGAGGGAAGUGGAAUUCCCGGUGUAGUGGUGAAAUGCGUAGAUAUCGAGAGGAACACCUGCGGCGAAGGCGGGUUGCUGGGCUGACACUGACGCUGAACGGCGAAAGCUAGGGGAGCAAACGGG
rnacentral:rRNA from 1 species